rnacentral:lncRNA from 1 species
UGAAUGUCUACCCGUGGCCCCGCCCUGCAGUAGGACCUAACGAGAGACAAGACCCAGAAUCUGCCUUUGAAGGAGGGGGCCAGUUCAGGAAUAUGGACUCUGUCGUCAGGACACAGAAGAGCCUUUGCAGGACUAAAUCGGGCCAGAUUGUCCCUUUAGCUGUGGUGUGGAGAAGGGGUCAGAGGUGUAGGCGGGAGCUCCGGAGACCCUGCUGGUCUCGGUGACACAGGGCCUGACUCCAUGCUGGACACAUAGGAGGCACUCUGUAACUAGUGCGAGAUGAUGGCAACGUGAAAUGCAAGCAGAGACAGGAUGCUGUGGACGGAGAGAAAACACCCUAGAUGAAGUGUCUGCGACAACACUGCAGAAAUAUAUACUUUUUUGACAUUUUGGAAUCAAAAGCAAAGUUUGUUGAUGAUAACCCCAUCAGAUCAGGGUGGUUUAAAAGCCAAAGCUUAGUGCAAAUAAGAUCCCUGGGCCAGCCCCUCGAGCUGACAGUGCCCGCGCAGGCACGUCAAUUUCAACAAAGGUAUCGGGCGUCACUUGUCUGCUGUGCAG